GAGGGUAUAGUUCAGUGGUAGUGUGCAUGCCUGGCAUGCACAAGGUCCUGGGUUUAAUCUCCAGUACCUCCA
rnacentral:tRNA from 1 species